AUUGAACGCUGGCGGCAUGCUUUACACAUGCAAGUCGAACGGCAGCGCGGGCUUCGGCCUGGCGGCGAGUGGCGAACGGGUGAGUAAUACAUCGGAACGUGCCCAGUAGUGGGGGAUAGCUCGGCGAAAGCCGGAUUAAUACCGCAUACGACCUGAGGGUGAAAGCGGGGGAUCUUCGGACCUCGCGCUAUUGGAGCGGCCGAUGGCAGAUUAGCUAGUUGGUGGGGUAAAGGCCUACCAAGGCGACGAUCUGUAGCUGGUCUGAGAGGACGACCAGCCACACUGGGACUGAGACACGGCCCAGACUCCUACGGGAGGCAGCAGUGGGGAAUUUUGGACAAUGGGCGAAAGCCUGAUCCAGAAAUGCCGCGUGUGUGAUGAAGGCCUUCGGGUUGUAAAGCACUUUUGGCGGGAACGAAAAGGACUGUGCCAAUACCACGGUUCGAUGACGGUACCCGCAGAAUAAGCACCGGCUAACUACGUG
rnacentral:rRNA from 1 species